AACGCACCUUGCGCUCCUUGGUAUUCCGAGGAGCAUGCCUGUUUGAGUGUCAUUAAAUUCUCAACCUUAUUAGCUUGUGCUGAUAGUGGAUUGGAUGUGGGGGUCUCUUUUUUGCUGGCUUCUUCCUAGAUGUCAGCUCCCCUUAAAUGCAUUAGCUGGUGCCCUUGCGUGGACUUGUCUAUUGGUGUGAUAAUUAUCUACUCCAUGGAUGUCUGGGUUUUGCACUGCUUCUAACCGUCUGUUCAUUCGGACAAUACAUGACAAUUUGACCUCAAAUCAGGUAGGACUACCCGCUGAACUUAA
rnacentral:misc_RNA from 1 species